CUAGAGUGCACUCAGUAAAUGACACCUCUUGCUGCCAUUGCUGUUCUUACUGUUAUUUAUACUCAUAUUACCUUGUAACUCUCAAAAGAAAAUCCUAUACCCUCUAUUUCCAGUGCUUGAGAACAUGCCACUGUUGUCCCUUUGGGCUGGCUACUUCCCUCUUUGAGGCUGCCUUGCCUUUCCAGGGAGGAAUCGCACAAGUUUCCAGGAUCCGAAGAAUGAAUUGGAGUAAAGUGAUUAACUCUUUGCUACGUCUUGAUCAAGUGCCCUUCAGAAUAAAAAGAGAUCAAAUAGUAAGCUAUUCUUAAUUAAAGUGAAUGAAUAGAAUUGAUUUAAUAAAAUUAUAAUGUUGUUUAAUGACUGUGGGAGAUUGUGUUCAGGGCAGAAAACUGACAUUUUGCCUUAAUCGAUGCACAUUUUAUUAAAAUCAAUGAGGUCUAUUACAUAAGGCCUAUUGAAAGUAACUUUAAUAAGGUCCAAUCUAUAAAAAGUAACCAACUCUAAUUCAAUUGAAAUUUAACCUGAUGGUAACUACAAUGUUCAUCCAACAUAUACUUAUUGAGUGCUUACUAUGUACUAGGCACUGAGGAAGUAUCAAUGAAAAGUCGCUUUUUCCUUCCCUUAAGGUACACAGUGUAGGAUAAUUAGCUGACAAUUUUGAGUUAGAUUCAAGUGCACCUCAACUUGUGGUAUUUCACUUACAUUUUAAAGAACCAUUUUUGUUACAUUUUAAAUAAAACUUCAACUUGGAAAAAAAAGGAAUGCUAAUGUCCUUUCCAAUUCUAAUAUAUGACUUGAAUUGUUAAUUGUUAAUAGUGGAAUGGUCUCAGUUUCAUGUUCAAAGGGAGUUUUUGGUAUUAAAAAAAUGGCUACUAUGCAUCGCAGUGUGCAUAGCGUUUUCCUCUCUUAUGAUAAAAAAGAGAUUUUCAGCCAUGUCUGUCUUCCACAUUUGCUUCCAGAAGGCUCAGAUGCCCACCUCCAGGAGGCAGGUGGGGUGGUACAGCCUGCUCUUAGUCUCAUGCUUUCUUCUUGAUCUUGGCUGCCCAUUAAAACUUCUGUUUCCCUGAUCCCGAUUCUUGGUUCUUAUUGAUAUUGAAUUUCACUCUAUUACAUUUGCCUUUAAUGUAAGAUGCUUUGAAACUGUUCAGGAACAAAGUGAAUUAUAACUUUUUUUAAAAAAAGUUUUUAACUAUUUGAGGGCUAAAACAAUAUAGUCCCUAUUUCCCUAGGGUACUUUGCUCAGCUUGUGUGAUGUAACAGAUAAGCAUGAAAUUCUUCUUAUUUUAAAUUCAGCAGAUAACUUUAUUCAUUAACUCAAAGAAUAUAUAUUGAGCACCUCCUAUGUUCCAGGAGUGCUUAGUGCUCAAGUUGUAAAUAUGAGUUAGACUCAAGUUGUUCAGGGUAGGCUAAUUACUAUAACAACAAAAACAAAAACAAAUCUCAGAGGUCAAAUAUAACCAAAGCUCAUUGCUCACAGUCCUAAGCUGGAGGUGUCUAUGUUUCAUUAUGCUUAGUCCUCAAAGUGGCCCUAGGUAUCAAAAUCCAGUUGAAAGAUGGGGAUGAAAAAAAGUGUGGAGGCUCCCGUGAGAAGGAGUUUUAGGGCCAGCUCUGAAAGGCCAGCCACUUCCACCCACAUUCCAAAGGCCAGAGUUUGAUCCCAAAGUUGCACCUAACUUCAGGUAUUUGUUGACAGGGGCUAGGAAAUGUCUUACUGGAUGACCAGGAAAAGAAAGAAGAGGGGCUUGAUGAGAUUCAGGCACUAUAUCUCUCGUGGUCCAACCCUCUGAGCACCUUGAAGCAUGCUCACUCCCUCCUGCUGGAGACAAUGCAAAGACUCAGGCAGGCCCUGUAUCCAGCCCAGGCGCAGGCUCUCCAGAUGCUGUGUGGCUUCUUACGGUGGAGAGUCACUUGCCCUCCACAGAUACAUGCACACUUAAUAAGCAAUGGUGGACCAGGGUCAGGAAAAUGACAAUAAAAAUUCCUAGUCUGAACAUAAAAGAAUGGAGGGCACACAGAAGUUACUGACCCAGUUAUAAGACCCAGCUGACUCACAGGGCAGGGCAGUUCCUUGACUAGGCUUUGAUAUUGUCUUGUGAUAGGAAUACUUCUGUCCAUCUCCCACUAUUCUCCUUGUUAUAUCUGAAAAGGGUUAAGGAGGUAUGUCUUCCUUGGGAACUGGUCCACUUCCCCAUCCUUCUUGCUGCACCAAAUGUAGUGUCCUAGAGAUCAAACAUGCAAAGUGGUCUUUAACUGGGGGAAGGAGAUUGUUUUCAUUUUGUUUUGUAUUUUCCAGGAUUACACAAUUUUGUUGGAAAUAAAAUUUCUUCAAAAACGCAUUUAGAUUCUGAUCUAUUUGAUUCUAGUUUACUCAUGUACCUCUCACUAUGCCCAAAGUUCUUUCAGAGAUGUUUUAAAUCCUGUCUAUCUCAGUCAUCCCAGGAUGCUAUAAUAAAUACCAUAGACAAGGCAGUUUAAGCAACAAACAUUUGCUAACAUUUGCUUCUCACAGUUCUGGAGGCUGGGAAGUUCAAUAUCAAGAU
rnacentral:lncRNA from 1 species